rnacentral:sRNA from 1 species
AUCCAAUUUGUGGUACCCACACCUGAAAAUUUGGUCACAUCUGGAACACCAUUUUUUUCAUCUAAACAAGUGGGAGUUGGAUACUCUUUCUUUCAAGCAUGUAAACUUUUUUCAAAAGGGAAGAAGACUUGGAGACAAAAUCAGAGCAACUUAAAAAUUGAAGUGGUGCAUGAUUGUCAGGAGAAGAGAAGUUCUGGUCAAUCCUCCAGUUUGGACAAUGGCAAUAGCUUGGAUGUUUUAAAGAAGUAUCCUUUAUUUAUUAAUAUAAACUCACAUACACAUCUAACUGUGGGAGUCUGGUUCAGUGUUCAAGGCCAAUGUGAUUAGAAAUUUGAGUUCACAGAAUGGGGUUUUACUGGGUGUGAUGAAAAGAGCGCUAGUUUAGGUGUCAGAAGUCCAGGAUUUAGGCCUGGCCAACCUAUAGCCUAUUUAUGUGAUUUGAAGAAAAUUAACUAAACUUUUUCAGAAUGUUGGUAUCUUCUUUUUUUUACCCCAGACUGAAAUAAAAUGGAGGUUUUCGUUUAUCAUUCUUAAAAAAAGUUUUAUUAUUAUUUUUCAUUGACACAUAAUCAUUGUACAUAUUUAUGGAAUACAGUGUGAAAUUUUGAUACAUGUGUACAAUGUAUAAUGAUCAAAUCAUGGUAGUUAGCUUAUCUAUUAAUUCUUCAGCUUUAUUGAUAUAUAAUUGACAAAAUUAUGUAUAUUUAAAGUGUACAAUGUGAUGCUUUGAUAUGUGUAUAUAUUGUGAAAUGAUUACCAUAUCAAGUUAGUUAACACA